AAGGGAGACCUAAUUCGGGUAGGAGACGAAAAAAAAGUAGUCCCUACCAAGAAUCAAUCCCAAAAGGUCGGAACGAGGUAUGAGGCUUUCAAACUAGGUUCUGGGUUCAUAAAAGACCUGAAUCAGGAACAAGGGCUAUUAGCUCAGGUGGUUAGAGCGCACCCCUGAUAGGGGUGAGGUCCCUGGUUCGAGUCCAGGAUGGCCCACCUGCACAGGUGGCAAAAACAAGAGAAGCUCCGAAUCAGCACCUUAUCUUAUAUACAUAUAUAAGAGAGAAUGCUGGCUCUGAGUACAGAGUCCAGAGGAACCUUGAAAACUGCAUAGAGCUAGGUGAAAAAGCCAAAAAAGAAGACCGCAA
rnacentral:tRNA from 1 species